AGAGGCUGCUGAACUACAGCUCCAUCACCCCUGGCCAUUGAUCCUGCUUUCUGGAGGAUCAAAGGUUUCCUACCCCUGCUGUAAAUGAAGGAUUAAAAAUGGACCAAAAAGGAGGAUUCUGGAAAUGCAUUUGUUUGGCAAGGAUGUUAUGGAGAAUCUGAUCACAGUAUCUCAUUAACCAAUCAUCUUGAUGCUGAGUUGCUGAGGGAAUGAUCAUCUCCUGGGGUGGGCAGAGCUUGAUGCGUUCCUAAUGAUGGGAAUGUGCUCUCACCCAGUCCUCCACUGUAAGGUUGCCUUAAAUGCUCCUGUUUUCUUACUGCUGUGUGACUCGGCAUGUGUUUUUUCUUUCCCAGUGGAGUUACUGAAUUGUUAUAAUACUGGGACUUGCUGUAAAUUGAUACAGGCCGUCAUGACAGUGCCAAGCACCCUGUCAUCACUCAAUAAAUUGUAAUAAUUAA